rnacentral:rRNA from 1 species
CAGUCGCCACGGUAAUACGUAGGGUGCGAGCGUUAAUCGGAAUUACUGGGCGUAAAGCGUGCGCAGGCGGUUUUGUAAGACAGGCGUGAAAUCCCCGGGCUCAACCUGGGAAUGGCGCUUGUGACUGCAAAGCUAGAGUGCGGCAGAGGGGGAUGAAAUUCCGCGUGUAGCAGUGAAAUGCGUAGAUAUGCGGAGGAACACCGAUGGCGAAGGCAAUCCCCUGGGCCUGCACUGACGCUCAUGCACGAAAGCGUGGGGAGCAAACAGGAUUAGAUACCCGAGUAGUCCCUGUCUCUUAUAC